rnacentral:rRNA from 1 species
GUGGGGAAUAUUGGACAAUGGGCGCAAGCCUGAUCCAGCCAUGCCGCGUGUGUGAAGAAGGCCUUUUGGUUGUAAAGCACUUUAAGCGAGGAGGAGGCUCCUUUAGUUAAUACCUAAAGAGAGUGGACGUUACUCGCAGAAUAAGCACCGGCUAACUCUGUGCCAGCAGCCGCGGUAAUACAGAGGGUGCGAGCGUUAAUCGGAUUUACUGGGCGUAAAGCGUGCGUAGGCGGCUUUUUAAGUCGGAUGUGAAAUCCCUGAGCUUAACUUAGGAAUUGCAUUCGAUACUGGAAAGCUAGAGGAUGGGAGAGGAUGGUAGAAUUCCAGGUGUAGCGGUGAAAUGCGUAGAGAUCUGGAGGAAUACCGAUGGCGAAGGCAGCCAUCUGGCCUAAUACUGAAGCUGAGGUACGAAAGCAUGGGGAGCAAACAGGAUUAGAAACCCCGGUAGUCC